GGCAGUUGGAGGCACCUGUGCUCCGGAUUUGCUCACAGCACCCAAACUAUUCCACUCUCCCUAGUACACCAGUGUAUAAAGCCCCGCAGGAACACUCACCUGAAGCCAUCCAUAGCCAUCUUCGCGUCAUCCCUGAGUUGGGACACGUCACCCCAAGUAUCAGCACCAGGCAAGAGGACCUAGAGACCCUGCUAGCCUUGGAAAGGGCUGAUAUCAUAGCCGAAUACCAUCAGCUGAGGCCCAGACAAGUACCAUAGAUGCUAGAGAACCCACUAGAGGUGGGGACCCCUCCUGCAAGGGCAGGUGAAUCCCAGGAAUGGAUCAGAGGCAAGCAUGACAGGUCAGUCCAUUGAAGAACCAUAGUCACCAGGAACAUAUGAG
rnacentral:lncRNA from 1 species